AUUGAACGCUGGCGGCAUGCUUUACACAUGCAAGUCGAACGGUAACAGGCCGCAAGGUGCUGACGAGUGGCGAACGGGUGAGUAAUGCAUCGGAACGUGCCCAGUCGUGGGGGAUAACUACUCGAAAGAGUAGCUAAUACCGCAUACGAUCUAUGGAUGAAAGCGGGGGACCGUAAGGCCUCGCGCGAUUGGAGCGGCCGAUGUCAGAUUAGGUAGUUGGUGGGGUAAAGGCUCACCAAGCCAACGAUCUGUAGCUGGUCUGAGAGGACGACCAGCCACACUGGGACUGAGCCACGGCCCAGACUCCUACGGGAGGCAGCAGUGGGGAAUUUUGGACAAUGGGCGCAAGCCUGAUCCAGCAAUGCCGCGUGCAGGAAGAAGGCCUUCGGGUUGUAAACUGCUUUUGUACGGAACGAAACGGCUCUGGUUAAUACCCGGGGCUAAUGACGGUACCGUAAUAAUAAGCACCGGCUAACUACGUG
rnacentral:rRNA from 1 species